rnacentral:rRNA from 1 species
AUUAAACGCUGGCGGCAGGCCUAACACAUGCAAGUCGAGCGAGCGGCGGACGGGUGAGUAAUGUCUGGGAAACUGCCUGAUGGAGGGGGAUAACUACUGGAAACGGUAGCUAAUACCGCAUACCAUCAGAUGUGCCCAGAUGGGAUUAGCUAGUAGGUGGGGUAACGGCUCACGUAGGCGACGAUCCCUAGCUGGUCUGAGAGGAUGACCAGGGACACUGGAACUGAGACACGGACCAGAGGCCUACGGGAGGCAGCAGUGGGGAAUAGGGGACAAUGGGCGGAAGCCUGAUAGAGCCAUGCCGCGUGUGUGAAGAAGGCGGAGGGGUUGUAAAGCACUGUCAGCGGGGAGGCGUUACCCGCAGAAGAAGCACCGGCUAACUCCGUGCCAGCAGCCGCGGUAAUAC